rnacentral:rRNA from 1 species
AAAUUGAAGAGUUUGAUCAUGGCUCAGAUUGAACGCUGGCGGCAGGCCUAACACAUGCAAGUCGAACGGUAACAGGAAGCAGCUUGCUGCUUUGCUGACGAGUGGCGGACGGGUGAGUAAUGUCUGGGAAACUGCCUGAUGGAGGGGGAUAACUACUGGAAACGGUGGCUAAUACCGCAUAACGUCGCAAGACCAAAGAGGGGGACCUUCGGGCCUCUUGCCAUCAGAUGUGCCCAGAUGGGAUUAGCUUGUUGGUGAGGUAACGGCUCACCAAGGCGACGAUCCCUAGCUGGUCUGAGAGGAUGACCAGCCACACUGGAACUGAGACAC